rnacentral:rRNA from 1 species
UUGAACGCUGGCGGCAUGCUUUACACAUGCAAGUCGAACGGUAACAGGCCGCAAGGUGCUGACGAGUGGCGAACGGGUGAGUAAUGCAUCGGAACGUGCCCAGUCGUGGGGGAUAACUACUCGAAAGAGUAGCUAAUACCGCAUACGAUCUAUGGAUGAAAGCGGGGGACCGUAAGGCCUCGCGCGAUUGGAGCGGCCGAUGUCAGAUUAGGUAGUUGGUGGGGUAAAGGCUCACCAAGCCAACGAUCAGUAGCUGGUCUGAGAGGACGACCAGCCACACUGGGACUGAGACACGGCCCAGACUCCUACGGGAGGCAGCAGUGGGGAAUUUUGGACAAUGGGCGCAAGCCUGAUCCAGCAAUGCCGCGUGCAGGAAGAAGGCCUUCGGGUUGUAAACUGCUUUUGUACGGAACGAAACGGCUCUGGUUAAUACCCGGGGCUAAUGACGGUACCGUAAGAAUAAGCACCGGCUAACUACGUG